rnacentral:rRNA from 1 species
GGGUGAGUAAUGUCUGGGAAACUGCCUGAUGGAGGGGGAUAACUACUGGAAACGGUAGCUAAUACCGCAUAACGUCGCAAGACCAAAGAGGGGGACCUUCGGGCCUCUUGCCAUCGGAUGUGCCCAGAUGGGAUUAGCUAGUAGGUGGGGUAACGGCUCACCUAGGCGACGAUCCCUAGCUGGUCUGAGAGGAUGACCAGCCACACUGGAACUGAGACACGGUCCAGACUCCUACGGGAGGCAGCAGUGGGGAAUAUUGCACAAUGGGCGCAAGCCUGAUGCAGCCAUGCCGCGUGUAUGAAGAAGGCCUUCGGGUUGUAAAGUACUUUCAGCGGGGAGGAAGGGAGUAAAGUUAAUACCUUUGCUCAUUGACGUUACCCGCAGAAGAAGCACCGGCUAACUCCGUGCCAGCAGCCGCGGUAAUACGGAGGGUGCAAGCGUUAAUCGGAAUUACUGGGCGUAAAGCGCACGCAGGCGGUUUGUUAAGUCAGAUGUGAAAUCCCCGGGCUCAACCUGGGAACUGCAUCUGAUACUGGCAAGCUUGAGUCUCGUAGAGGGGGGUAGAAUUCCAGGUGUAGCGGUGAAAUGCGUAGAGAUCUGGAGGAAUAC